UACGCAGGGGGCAAGCGUUGUCCGGAUUUACUGGGCGUAAAGAGCGUGUAGGCGGCCAGGCAGGUCUGUUGUGAAAACUGGAGGCUCAACUUCCAGACGUCGACAGAAACCGCUUGGCUAGAGUCCGGAAGAGGAGAGUGGAAUUCCUGGUGUAGCGGUGAAAUGCGCAGAUAUCAGGAAGAACACCGAUGGCGAAGGCAGCUCUCUGGGACGGUACUGACGCUGAGACGCGAAAGCGUGGGGAGCGAACAGG
rnacentral:rRNA from 1 species